CGUUAAGAGCAUAUGGUGAAUGCCUUGACACAAAAAGACGAUGAAGGACGUAGCAGCCUGCGAUAAGCUUCGGUGAGGUGGUAAGCAACCUUUGACCCGAGGAUUUCCGAAUGGGGAAACCCGCUCCGUUGAAGACGGAGCGUCCGCUGUCUGAACACAUAGGACAGUGAGACGAAGACCCGGUGAACUGAAACAUCUUAGUAACCGGAGGAAAAGAAAACAACAAUGGGUAUUGCACAGAUUAACUCAGCUCUGCUGAGCGAUUCUGUGUAAUAUCUCGUGAUUCCCUGAGUAGUGGCGAGCGAAAGGGGAAGAGCCUAAACCUUAUUAAACCUUGUAUUAUUAUCACUUCGGUGAAAAUUUUACUUAAGGGUCUGUGCCCACAUGUUUAUAGGGGGUUGUAAGAUGUAUAUAUUCAAUCUCUCAGAUUAUUUUGAGCAGAGUCAUAAAAGUUUUUGUUAGCUGAAGCGAGCUGGAAAGCUCCGCCAGAGAAGGUGAUAGCCCUGUACGCGAAGACAAUUUCUCUCUGUAAUAUACAUUCUUGAGUAGGGCGGGACACGUGAAAUCCCGUUUGAAUCUAGGUCGACUAUGAUCUAAGGCUAAAUACUUUUUGUGAUCGAUAGUGAACAAGUACCGUGAGGGAAAGGUGAAAAGCAUCCCGGGAGGGAGGUGAAAUAGUACCUGAAACCAUAUGCUUACAAGGAGUCGGAGCCCUUCGGGGUGACGGCGUGCCUAUUGAAGAAUGAGCCAACGAGUUUGUUGUAUGUGGCCCGAUUAACCCAGCUUCAUUUUGCUGAAAGCUUACUAAAUACAUUGAUAUCAUUCAUUUGAUAAUCAUACAAAAUAGUAGUUUAUUCGGCUAAAUGAAGCUGGGGAAGUCAGAGUGAAAGCGAGGGUUAAUAGCCCGUAUCUUACUUUUUAGAAAUACUUUGAAUUUCGAUUCAGAUAUUUCUAAAAUUUAAGAAGGUCGCAUGCACAAGACCCGAAUCCAGGUGAUCUAACCAUGACCAGGCUGAAAGUGAUAGAAAUAUUACUGAAGGGCCGAACCCACUAGUCGUGCAACACUAGGGGAUGAGUUGUGGUUAGCGGAGAAAUUCCAAUCGAACCUGGCAAUAGCUGGUUCUCCUCGAAAUAGCUUUAGGGCUAGCGUCGGAUGCUGAUUACUGGGGGUAGAGCACUGAAUGGGUCUGGGGCCGCAAGGUACCCUGCCUAACCAAACUCCGAAUACCAGUAAGUGAAGUCCGGCAGUUAGACUAUGGGGGCUAAGCUCCAUCAGUCAAAAGGGAAACAGCCCAGAUCACAAUCUAAGGUCCCUAAAUAUAUGCUAAGUGUAAAAGGUGGUGUUGUGACUACUACAACUAGGAGGUUGGCUUAGAAGCAGCCAUCCUUUAAAGAUAGCGUAAUAGCUCACUAGUCCAGUUGUUUCGCGCCGAAAAUUUACCGGGGCUAAGCAUAUUACCGAAGAUGUGAGUUCAUUGAUUUAUCAAUGAGCGGUAGAGGAGCAUUCCAUGGGCGCUGAAGUCGAAUCGCGAGGUUCGGUGGAGCGCAUGGAAGAGAGAAUGUUGGCAUGAGUAGCAAAAAGGCGGGUGAGAACCCCGCCCACCGUAAGACUAAGGUUUCCUGGGCAACGCAAAUCGCCCCAGGGUUAGUCGGUCCUAAGACGAGGCGCGUGUAGUGCGCGCGUAGCCGAUGGAUGAGCUGGUUAAUAUUCCAGCACUACUGCAGUUUUCCAAUGGGGGGACGCGGUUCAGAAGUUUGAGCGUAUUUAUGGUAUGUACGUUGAUUGCUUUGAGAAAUGAUCUAGGUAAAUCCGGAUCGCUAAUUUCAAGAAGUUGUCUGAAGAUGAAGUCUUUGAUGGAAUCAAUUCGAGUGGAUGAAUCGCCUAGAAAAACCUCUAGGGCUAAGGCUGUAGUAACCGUACUAAAACCGACACAGGUAGUCGAGGCGAGUAGCCUCAGGUGAACGAGAGAACCUUCGUUAAGGAACUAGGCAAAACAGCGGCCGUAAUUUCGAGAUAAGGCCUGCCCACGCAAGUGGGCCGCAGCUAAAGAGCUCGGGUGACUGUUUACCAAAAACACAGCUCCCUGCUAACUCGUAAGAGGAUGUAUAGGGGGUGACGCCUGGCCAGUGUCCGAACGUUAAGGGGAUGGGUUAGCACUUCGGUGCGAAGCUUUGAACUCAAGCGCGGAUGAACGCCGGCCGUAACUAUAACGGUCCUAAGGUAGCGAAAUUCCUUGUCGGGUAAGUUCCGACCUGCACGAAUGGCGUAACAACUUGAGCACUGUCUCAACGAAGGACUCGGCGAAAUUGCAAGACGAGUAAAGAUGCUCGUUAAUCGUAGUCGGACGAAAAGACCCCGUGAAGCUUUACUAUAGCUUGACAUUGAAUUAGGGUCAUGCAUGUUCAGUAUAGGUGGGAGCCUUCGGGCACCAGUGAGAUACCACCCUUGUAUGUUCUUAAUUCUAACUUGAGACCAUGAAUCUGGUCCAAGGACAGUGUCUGGUGGGUAGUUUGUCUGGGGCGGAUGCCUCAUAAAGAGUAACUGAGGCGUUUACAAAGGUUGGCUAUCCCGGAAUGGAAACCCGGGAGAUUGUGUAAAGGCAUAAGCCAGCUUUACUGCAAGACUUACAAGUCGAGCAGUUGCGAAAGCAGAACUUAGUGAUCCGACCGUUCGAUAUAGGACGGCGGAAGCUCAUCGGAUAAAAGCUACUCCGGGGAUAACAGGCUAGUCGCGCCCAAGCGUCCACAGCGACGGCGCGGUUCGGCACCUCGAUGUCGGCUCGUCUCAUCCUGGGGGUGAAGAAGCUCCCAAGGGUUGGGCUGUUCGCCCAUUAAAGAGGCACGCGAGCUGGGUUCAGACCGUCGUAAGACAGGUCGGUCUCCUAUCCACUACGAUCGCGGAAACUUGAGAAGGCCGUUCCCUAGUACGAGAGGACCGGGAAUGACGAAGCUCUAGUGUACCAGCUGUUCCACCAGGGGCAUUGCUGGGUAGCUACCUUCGGUUUUGAUAAACGCUGAAAGCAUAUAAGCGUGAAGCAGUCUUCAAGAUUAGGUUUCAUAGAUAGGUCAGAGACUAUGACCUUGAUAGGCUCUAAGUGUAAGGGUAGCAAUACUCUCAGCUGAGGAGUACUAAAUUAUC
rnacentral:rRNA from 1 species